rnacentral:rRNA from 1 species
UACGGAGGGGGCUAGCGUUGUUCGGAAUUACUGGGCGUAAAGCGCGCGUAGGCGGGCUGUUAAGUCGGGGGUGAAAUCCCGGGGCUCAACCCCGGAAUGGCCUUCGAUACUGGCAGUCUUGAGGUCGGGAGAGGUGAGUGGAAUUCCGAGUGUAGAGGUGAAAUUCGUAGAUAUUCGGAGGAACACCAGUGGCGAAGGCGGCUCACUGGCCCGAUACUGACGCUGAGGUGCGAAAGCGUGGGGAGCAAACAGG